CUUCAUGGCAGCUGUACAUGGGGCACCUUCGUGUGCGCCGGGUUCCUUGGGUCACCGGUCUGUCAACCCGUGUAUAGCUGCCUCCAUU
rnacentral:antisense_RNA from 17 species